rnacentral:rRNA from 1 species
UACGGGGGGGCAAGCGUUGUUCGGAAUUACUGGGCGUAAAGGGCUCGUAGGUGGCCAACUCAGUCAGACGUGAAAUCCCUCGGCUUAACCGGGGAACUGCGUCUGAUACUGGAUGGCUUGAGAUUGGGAGAGGGAUGCGGAAUUCCAGGUGUAGCGGUGAAAUGCGUAGAUAUCUGGAGGAACACCGGUGGCGAAGGCGGCAUCCUGGACCAACACUGACACUGAGGAGCGAAAGCCAGGGGAGCAAACGGG